rnacentral:rRNA from 1 species
AACGGCACCACCAGGCGUGGAACUUGCGGCUUAAUUUGACUCAACACUGGAAAUCUCACCAGGCCCGGACACCGGAAGGAUUGACAGAUUGAGAGCUCUUUCUCGAUUCGGUGGGUGGUGGUGCAUGGCCGUUCUUAGUUGGUGGAGUGAUUUGUCUGGUUAAUUCCGAUAACGAACGAGACUCCGUCCUGCUAACUAGUCGUAGCGUCACUCUUGCGCUGCGAAUUCUUCUUAGAGGGACUGGCGGCAUUUAGCCGCACGAGAUGGAGCAAUAACAGGUCUGUGAUGCCCUUAGAUGUUCUGGGCUGCACGCGUGUUACACUGAAGGGAUCAGCGUGUCCUCCCUGACCGAGAGGUCCGGGUAACCCGCUGAACCCCCUUCGUGGUAGGGAUCGGAGCUUGCAAUUAUUCUCCGUGAACCAGGAAUGCCCAGUAAGCGCAAGUCAUAAGCUUGCGUUGAUUACGUCCCUGCCGUUUGUACACACCGCCCGUCGCUACUACCGAUUGAACGUUUUAGUGAGGUAUUUGGACUGGACCUCAGUUGGUUCGCGCCGACUGUGUUGUUCGGGAAGACUCCCAAACUUGAGCGUUUAGAGGAAGUAAAAGUCGUAACAAGGUUACCGUAGGUG